GAGGGUAUAGCUCAGUGGUAGAGCAUGUGUUUAGCAGGCAUGAAGUCCUGGGUUCAAUCCCCAGAACUCCCA
rnacentral:tRNA from 1 species